CUGGAAACGUGAAGCAUCUGAUGGAAAUUACUGAAGUGUUAUCUCUCCAAAAUGCCAUAAGGUGGCAGUGAAUUAGAAAAUCGGUACUAUUUCUGGGGAGAACAAAGCUUUUAAAAGCUCAGUAGCAAUGGUGGAGAGCCUUUUUUGUUUGUCUAAUUUGUCUACUUACAUUUCAUGUAUCACCAUCAAAUUCAAAUCCAAUCACCUUAAGAGUACGCUGUAUAGAUCUGCUCCAACAUUCACGAGCAGCCAGUAGACAUGUUCCUGCACAGGGAAUUCCUGCUUUUUCUUUCUCCUCUGUUUCCUCUUCAAUUAAUCAGCAAGAAAUUUUCCUGUUGCCUUUUUGUUUACUUAUCUUGCAGCUAUUGCUGUGUCAUUCCAACAUCAGCCGUGGUAAGAGGGCAGGAGGGUAGUGUUUUAUAUUUCCGUUUGGCUGAUAAGGGUGAAAUCAUUCGAGGUUUCUUUGCACUUUGAUACACUGGUGAUUCAAACCGAUGCUGAUAGAUCUCCCACUUUUGCAUCCAGUUCCUUAAUAUUGCCAACUGAAUUAUAAAAAAAUAGCAUGAUACUGCAGUGGUUUGUCUCUUGGUUAAUUGGCACAGGCAGAGUCGAUGGCUAUAGUUGAACUUCAACUUUUCUCUUUUUUUCUAGUGGAAAACCAGAGGUUCUCCAACUGCUCAGGCAUUAAUUAUUAGACAAUAAACCCCAAAGAUUGGUUUGGAUUUCUAUCCCAGAACAAAAUCCACGUGAAUCUAUGUUUAGAAUGUACCGGUUGCGUUUAUUUUUCUGAGCAGGACAGACACUUUCAGUCCUGAGAACCGAGCGUUUUGCAAUGAUUUCCUGUCACAAAACAUGUCAUCACCAACAAUUGCUUCAGAGACCAGCUGAUGUUUUGCUGAUCUGGGUGUGCGUGGGCGCACCUAGGCCUUGUAGGACACCAGGUAGAUUCGCUAGAGUCAAUAGAGCCAGGCGAUCUGAACACAGUCAUGUAACAGGAGAUACGGACAGCUUCCGUUUCCCAAUUUUGCAGCACGGUAGAACAAGCCAAGCUGUCCAGUGUAGGUUCACAGGAACAUUGCGACACAUGGAAAACAUUGGUGACUCAUGAUGCAGGCUGAUGCACCCAUCUAUGGAAGUCCUCUCCACCGGUGCUCUGGAGAAGUUUAAGGUUGCUCCUACUCACUGAGAGAGACAUCAGGUUUCAUAGGGUGACAGAACACGUUACUCAGCUGGACUGCUUCCGUUGCUCCAGCAUUUGUCCAGCCACACCCUGUUCCUAAAUAGCCCUGAAAAAAUACAGCACCCAGAGCCAGAAAAGCCAUGUUGCUCUCAUGAUCCUUUGACAAGCCCUCCAGACAUUUGUUCUCUUGAAAUCAAGAAUGAUGCCUGUUUCCUCAGCAGUUUGAAAAGGUUUAAAUCUAGAAAAUUACUGGGCUCUUCUCACAUUAGACUCACUCCAACAGCCAAAGACAUUUGUCCACCUGCUUUCUAUUGUAUUUCCCAGUGCUGCCAGCAGGCUUGCCUGCUUCUGCAAAGGGCGUACCAAAGAGCAGAUGGGUCACUCUCUCAGCAAGAAAUUAAAACAGUCUCAGUAGGGUUGUGAUAAAAAUUGUCCUAACCACUUACUGGGAGCUCUCUGAACUACAGUACUGGUGGAAGGGCCCAUGCAUGCCCCACACUCACUGUUUUCCCAUCUCCUCAGCCAACCUCCAGCCUAGUUGUCCAAAUACAAAGAAUUACAGACAGCCUGCAAUCCAUUUAGGAAAAUCUUGUGGGUACAGUAAGCCUUGGCUUGAUAACAGGGAGCCAGGCACAGACCUCUAGUGGCACAAGGUGCCUGGGAUGCUGGCCUCACUAUGAGGACUCUCUGCAGGCUGAGGUUGCCAUCUGUAUCUGCAAUGAAAUGUUCACCCAGCCAUUGCUGUCCUAGCUGCCCUUACCCUAGCUAAAAAUAAUAGCACAAGUCUCCCUGUAGGAAAAAGAAGAUUGCUCUUGCUGGGCUACAGGCACUCUUGACACCACGAGGCAGACUGUGGGAAGUUUGAUGCACUUAUGUCUGCAUAAGAGGUGGUCACUCUGCACUGUACUUUGAGCAAUAUGUAACAGCACAGUGAUACACAACAUGUAGCAAAACAGUGGGAAAGGGCUAUGAAGAAGACCUGGUCAUUCUGUACAUCACUCAUAGCAGUGAGCUCGUGAUAUUAUUGCAUGUACUUCCUGGGUUCUGAGGUCUUUGAUUUGCAGCCCACAUUAAAGGUGGUGAUUGUCCUCAAGACUGACCUAGUGUCUGGGCUCAGGAAAGCAAGAGUGUUCAGGAGAGAGCUUCACUGAAGCCCUCAUGGUUGUUGGACAACUCUUCCACAGCUUCUUUUAGACCUGUGGAGGUGCCCCAUAUGGAUGUCGGUGCUCUCCCACCUUCUCAAAACCUGAAGCCCACUCUAUCUAUAGAAGGGUCAUCAGCUGCUGCUCCUCACAUUGCCACAGGAAUGUCCCAUGGUUAGCAACACUUCUUUUUCUCUCUGCAGAUUGGAGAAAGGUCCUUCAUGGGUCACCUGUGGAAGAUUUCCUGUUGCACUGACCAUAGCAGGGCACAAGCAUGCUGGCUGAGACAGCCUCGUUAUCUCCUCCUAUGAGCCUUGUAUAGUUUGGAGACAGCAGCUGGAGUCAUGGCUCGUGACUUGGAGACAUAGCUCAGGAAGCUAGAAACGUUCAGAGGACAUCACUGCUUGUGUGGGACAUCGAUGCUACAGGCCUCAAUGUGUGAGACGGCUCUCAUUGAGCUCUCUUCUGUAAACACUGGCAGCAAAAUCAGGGCACUGCGGUCCUGCUGCCAGAGCUCUCAGUCUGCCUUUUCACCAUGGCAGAAUGCGCAUCCCUGUUCCUACAGUUGCUCAGAAACCUUGGGUUCUGGGCAAGGUCCUAAUUAAGGUGCUUUGAAUCAGCUAACAAGGAGACAGUCUCCACCAAAGGCUGUGUACAAGGUGCUGUGUGGGAACCAAAUACUAAGGACUAAAUACCAAAUACUAAAGAUAAGCAGUAGGAAGGCAUGCAGUAUGCAAUGCCCUAUGUGACAAUCCCAUAACACCAAGGGCAAUAAAAGCCAGCCCAUCAUCUCUCGCUGUUCUCUCCUCUCAUGCGCAGGCAGCCUGGUCCAUCACACUGCUUCAGCUCUUCCCACCUGGAUUCAGCAUGUGUUCUUUGCUGGAUAUGGGAGAAGGCUGGAGCUGGGAGCCCCCGAAAGCACUAGGCAUUGCUCACGUACACCCUCUC
ensembl:lncRNA